rnacentral:rRNA from 1 species
UACGUAGGGGGCAAGCGUUGUCCGGAUUUAUUGGGCGUAAAGAGCGUGUAGGCGGCCGUACAGGUCAGCUGUGAAAACUCGAGGCUCAACCUCGAGACGUCGGUUGAAACCGUACGGCUAGAGUCCGGAAGAGGAGAGUGGAAUUCCCAGUGUAGAGGUGAAAUUCGUAGAUAUUGGGAAGAACACCGGUGGCGAAGGCGGCUCACUGGACCGUUACUGACGCUCAGGCGCGACAGCGUGGGGAUCAAACAGG